CAGAUCCACCUGCAAGUAGUUAAUUGCCUACUUGGCUGGGCAGCAAUUAAUUAACUAAGGAACACCCAAGCGGCCCAAUAAAAGGUUAUGAGGCUUCAGAGAGACAGAGUUCCAAAAGCCAGGAAGGAAACUCCAGCUGAGAAGGAAUUCUCGGGGAAGCUAUUUAGGGAGCUCACCAGUAAAGGGGACUGAGGAAACAUACUCCUAAACCAGAGAGGUUCUGAAAGGGGAGCACACCAAGAGAGCCAAGUCCCUAAGGAGAAGGAUCUUACUAAAACAGCAGCAGGUUGCCACUCUGGAGAAGAGCUGCAGUGGUUUGAGCUCUGAGAAGGAAUCCUUCCCCUGGCGAUGGGUGGAUUCUUUCCCCUUCACAACAGAGUUGCAGAAAGCAGGUCCUGGAACACUGGUGGGAAAGGCAGUCUCAAGAAGGUCCCUCAGCUCUUUAGCAAUCCGGCAAAGUGGCUCAAAAGAGUGGAGCACGACAAAGGGACUUUGCAUUCAGCAAAUAUUAUAUUUUAGAAACUCAGGUCAUUUGCUCUGACAGUGCUGACAGCAAAUACAGAACCAGUGGAGUUAUGACUUCACAGGAACCUCCAUUUCCGGGAGAGCCCUACAGGAAACUCUGCUUGCACCAUGAAGAGACAGAAGACUAGGGUUCUAGUGUCUGCAGUACUUCUAAAGCACAAGCAGGAGGAGCUACUUGGCAAGAAGAAAAUAAUCAUAAGAAGUAUUACCUCCAUGUAUGAGAAUGAUACAGAUAAACCAAACAGUAUUCUUAACUGACAUACCAGCAAUAUCUAUACCAGAGGGGAGGGAAAGAAAUAAUACGUUGGGUAUCACUACAAAACGUAAGUAGAGAACAAGAGAAAAUACCUAGAGCAAGGGAAAAGUUAUAUAAAGAAACACAAGAUGUCAACAUAGAGAAUCCUCCAUGUGGCUCUUGACAGAGGAAGAAAAGCAGGUGGGAUUUUUACCCACACCUCAGAGCAUUCUCCAUGUCAUGUAGGCAGCGCCUAGUGACGGCAACCCUAGCUAGCUCCACAGUAACUUCCUGGGGGACAGGAUGAUCUUAGGACUAGACAGAAAGUUGCAUCCAAGCAUACCUCCCAAGAUUUCUAGUGGCUAAAGUGGAACAAAUGUUUCCCCCAGGGGGUGGCAAGCCUGGCAGGUGGGGACAGAAAAAAUUGCAAAGCAAGCCUGCCCACAGCCAUCUGUGAGGGACACAAGCCACUACUACUCAUAGCAGUGACUCUUGUCCCUCAUGGAUGGCUGGGCUCAGCUUCCCACUCUGGGCAUCGCUCCCUGGACCCCGGUGCAUGGAGUCAGUCAGGGGGCCAGCCCAAAUUUGAGUGGCACUGCCACCCCGUUUGCCAGGGCCAGGUCUCAAUGCCCAGAAUGGGGGAGCUGAGGCCAGCCAGCCCUUCAAACGGAACAGGAGCUUUUGUGGGCAGUCCUGCAAAACCUGGGACUGCUGGAAUGUCUGUCAAAGGUUAAGAGUAGAAAGCACUGCCAGUGCAGAGAGAGCUAGAAUGAUUAUGCAGGUCACCCUAGCGAUGUCUCUUCCUGUCUGGGCUGGGUCUGAAGCCAGCUGGAGAACUGCAGCAGCAAGUGCCCAGAGCAGCAUGUGCCAACAUCUACAACUCUGAUAUUCUGUUAUUUAUGGACAACUUUAGCACAUUCAUUUUGUCCUCCAAUUUUGGGACUACAAAAGCAAGGCCUAUCGAGCAUUACACAUUUGUAUUACUGAUCUGGAAGUUUAUUCAAUCAGGACAUGAUUUCAUAUCUUCUCUACACGUUUAUAUUAUGAACCAAUUGAAAUCUGAUAAUAUUAAAGAGGCAUUUGCUGGAAGAUCAAAGUAAACCUAUUCAAGAGGGUAAAUCUCAUGUACUGACAAAUAUACUAGUGUUAAUCUCAAUUACAUACAUGUACAGUUAAACAAAGAUUGAUAUGAAGAGACUGAGCUUUAAAGCACUAGGUAUUAUUACAGUUUGCUUCCUGUAGUACUGUAAUUCAUUUUUUACUUUAUUAAAAAUGGAAGAGCAAGCUUAUUUAAUAAUACAGCUGACUUAGGGGAGUGGUGGGGGAAGAGACAUACUUUAAAAUGUACUGGACGACUCAGAAGUUUAAAAUAAUUUGUAUAAGGCUAUUUUCCUUUUGCAUAUCUGCAAUCUAGAUCAUAAAGUUUUAUUGUUCCAUAGCUGAUACACUGAAAUAACAGACCCUUGUGUUAUAAAUUACUAGUUGCCCAUUUUUCCUGAAUUUGAGAGGUGAUAUAUUCUUACC